rnacentral:rRNA from 1 species
GAUGAACGCUGGCUACAGGCUUAACACAUGCAAGUCGAGGGGAAACGGCAUUGAGUGCUUGCACUGAAUGGACGUCGACCGGCGCACGGGUGAGUAACGCGUAUCCAACCUUCCCGUUACUGCGGGAUAACCUGCCGAAAGGCAGACUAAUACCGCAUGUUCUUCGAUGACGGCAUCAGAUUCGAAGCAAAGACUCGUCGGUAACGGAGGGGGAUGCGUCUGAUUAGCUAGUUGGCGGGGCGACGGCCCACCAAGGCGACGAUCAGUAGGGGUUCUGAGAGGAAGGUCCCCCACAUUGGAACUGAGACACGGUCCAAACUCCUACGGGAGGCAGCAGUGAGGAAUAUUGGUCAAUGGGCGGAAGCCUGAACCAGCCAAGUAGCGUGCAGGAGGACGGCCCUAUGGGUUGUAAACUGCUUUUAUGCGGGGAUAAAGUGAGGGACGUGUCCCUUUUUGCAGGUACCGCAUGAAUAAGAACCGGCUAAUUCCGUGCCAGCAGCCGCGGUAAUACGGAAGGUCCGGGCGUUAUCCGGAUUUAUUGGGUUUAAAGGGAGCGUAGGCCGGGGAUUAAGUGUGUUGUGAAAUGUAGGCGCCCAACGUCUGACUUGCAGCGCAUACUGGUUCCCUUGAGUACGCGCAACGCCGGCGGAAUUCGUCGUGUAGCGGUGAAAUGCUUAGAUAUGACGAAGAACCCCGAUUGCGAAGGCAGCCGGCGGGAGCGCAACUGACGCUGAAGCUCGAAGGUGCGGGUAUCGAACAGG